rnacentral:lncRNA from 1 species
GGUAUGGCAAGUUUUUUAUGGUUUGUUUUGUGGAUGUUCUUUGUUAGUGAUUCACCUGUAGAACAUAAACGGAUCUCACAUGAAGAAAAAGAGUACAUAAUAGCCUCAUUAGUUGAAUGUGCUCACAGGACAAAUAGGAGGGUACUUAGAAUAGUGUACAUUAAGGAUACAUAACUACUAUGAUCGCAAUUGACAUUGCGAGAUUCAUAAUAGUAUCAUAGUUUGCAUUAUGUAUUCUAGACAUAUAUUUUACGUUCAUCUUUUAAUUCAUAUCGCCAACUAAAACUUAAAAAAUAAUAUUUGUUCAACAGUUAUUUUUCUAAUAUGCUAUUGGAUUCAAAUCAUUUAGACAGUUUACUAUGUGUAUAGUUUGUAGGUAAAAUCUAUAAAAGCAACUUUGUCAAAAUAAUAUAAAAACAUUCAUUCUCAAUACCAAGUACGUAGUUGUUUUUUAAAUACUAUUAGACCCAUUGAUGGAUUUCGGCUGUUUUCUUUCCUUUGGUUUGGUUGUUGUCCCACUGACACAUUCCCCAUUUCCAUUCUCAAUUUUAUGAUGUGUUAAGAUAAACAUUCGUUUUAUUAAUGUACAACGAUUGUGAAUGUAAGGCACUACGAUUAAUGUCAAUCAUCUGUCCAAGUGGUUUUCUUGGUUUAACUCAGAUAAUAAAAUUGGUAAUUAAACAUUAUUUUUUUGGUCUUAAAUCUGAAUGAGAUGCGACUUUUUUUCCUAUAUAUUAUGCAUCACAGAGAAAGAAUUCAAAACUUAAAUUAUAACAUAACCAAUUCACAGUCUAUGGAAGAAGCGAUUCGAUAAAUGCUUUUCUUAUAUCAACGAGCGAUAGUAUCAACAUUGUGGGAAAUUUCAGACGAAGUAGCAUUUGUACGAAGAAAGGCAGAUUUCUCGGUAUAAAGUAAUGUCUCUUUUCUUAAAACAUGGUGACAUUUAACAUGACAUACGUCUGGUGUAUAAUUUUCAUGAGUUAUUUUAUGUAAUAACAAGCAAGGUGUAUUGAAACGAG